UACAGAGGGUGCAAGCGUUAAUCGGAAUUACUGGGCGUAAAGCGUGCGUAGACGGUUACGUAAGUCGGGUGUGAAAGCCCCGGGCUCAACCUGGGAAUUGCAUUCGAGACUGCAUAGCUAGGGUGCGGAAGAGGGAAGCGGAAUUUCCGGUGUAGCGGUGAAAUGCGUAGAUAUCGGAAGGAACACCAGUGGCGAGAGCGGCUUCCUGGUCCAGCACCGACGUUCAGGCACGAAAGCGUGGGGAGCAAACAGG
rnacentral:rRNA from 1 species